rnacentral:rRNA from 1 species
CUUUCGGGCGGGGAUUAGUGGCGAACGGGUGAGUAACACGUGGGCAAUCUGCCCUGCACUCUGGGACAAGCCCUGGAAACGGGGUCUAAUACCGGAUAUGACUGUCCAUCGCAUGGUGGAUGGUGUAAAGCUCCGGCGGUGCAGGAUGAGCCCGCGGCCUAUCAGCUUGUUGGUGAGGUAGUGGCUCACCAAGGCGACGACGGGUAGCCGGCCUGAGAGGGCGACCGGCCACACUGGGACUGAGACACGGCCCAGACUCCUACGGGAGGCAGCAGUGGGGAAUAUUGCACAAUGGGCGAAAGCCUGAUGCAGCGACGCCGCGUGAGGGAUGACGGCCUUCGGGUUGUAAACCUCUUUCAGCAGGGAAGAAGCGAAAGUGACGGUACCUGCAGAAGAAGCGCCGGCUAACUACGUGCCAGCAGCCGCGGUAAUACGUAGGGCGCAAGCGUUGUCCGGAAUUAUUGGGCGUAAAGAGCUCGUAGGCGGCUUGUCACGUCGGUUGUGAAAGCCCGGGGCUUAACCCCGGGUCUGCAGUCGAUACGGGCAGGCUAGAGUUCGGUAGGGGAGAUCGGAAUUCCUGGUGUAGCGGUGAAAUGCGCAGAUAUCAGGAGGAACACCGGUGGCGAAGGCGGAUCUCUGGGCCGAUACUGACGCUGAGGAG